rnacentral:rRNA from 1 species
UGCAAGUCGAGCGGAUGAAGGGAGCUUGCUCCUGGAAUUCAGCGGCGGACGGGUGAGUAAUGCCUAGGAAUCUGCCUGGUAGUGGGGGAUAACGUCCGGAAACGGGCGCUAAUACCGCAUACGUCCUGAGGGAGAAAGUGGGGGAUCUUCGGACCUCACGCUAUCAGAUGAGCCUAGGUCGGAUUAGCUAGUUGGUGGGGUAAAGGCUCUACCAAGGCGACGAUCCGUAACUGGUCUGAGAGGAUGAUCAGUCACACUGGAACUGAGACACGGUCCAGACUCCUACGGGAGGCAGCAGUGGGGAAUAUUGGACAAUGGGCGAAAGCCUGAUCCAGCCAUGCCGCGUGUGUGAAGAAGGUCUUCGGAUUGUAAAGCACUUUAAGUUGGGAGGAAGGGCAGUAAGUUAAUACCUUGCUGUUUUGACGUUACCAACAGAAUAAGCACCGGCUAACUUCGUGCCAGCAGCCGCGGUAAUACGAAGGGUGCAAGCGUUAAUCGGAAUUACUGGGCGUAAAGCGCGCGUAGGUGGUUCAGCAAGUUGGAUGUGAAAUCCCCGGGCUCAACCUGGGAACUGCAUCCAAAACUACUGAGCUAGAGUACGGUAGAGGGUGGUGGAAUUUCCUGUGUAGCGGUGAAAUGCGUAGAUAUAGGAAGGAACACCAGUGGCGAAGGCGACCAC